CCUACGGGAGGCAGCAGUGGGGAAUAUUGCACAAUGGGGGAAACCCUGAUGCAGCGACGCCGCGUGAGUGAAGAAGUAUUUCGGUAUGUAAAGCUCUAUCAGCAGGGAAGAAAAUGACGGUACCUGUUUAAGAAUCCCCGGCUAACUACGUGCCAGCAGCCGCGGUAAUACGUAGGGGGCAAGCGUUAUCCGGAUUUACUGGGUGUAAAGGGAGCGUAGACGGCAGCGCAAGUCUGAAGUGAAAUGCCGGGGCUUAACCCCGGAACUGCUUUGGAAACUGUGCAGCUAGAGUGCAGGAGAGGUAAGUGGAAUUCCUGGUGUAGCGGUGAAAUGCGUAGAUAUUAGGAGGAACACCAGUGGCGAAGGCGGCUUACUGGACUAUAACUGACGUUGAGGCUCGAAAGCGUGGGGAGCAAACAGGAUUAGAUACCCCAGUAGUC
rnacentral:rRNA from 1 species